ACCUCCAUUCUGCUGGAAUUAUUCACAGGGAUUUAAAACCAAGUAACAUUGUAGUCAAGUCUGAUUGCACAUUGAAAAUCCUGGACUUUGGACUGGCCAGGACAGCAGGCACAAGCUUCAUGAUGACUCCAUAUGUGGUGACACGUUAUUACAGAGCCCCUGAGGUCAUCCUGGGGAUGGGCUACAAGGAGAACGGAGAGUAAAGAUAGAAGCAAAAAGUUGGAACUUUUAAACUUGAACCCUAAGCAAAAAUAGUAAAAUGUCUUGACAAAUCAGAGAAUCUUAUGAAAUUGUCAUUGAUGACUGAAGUUUAACUACUUUCCCACAUUCAAACUAUCUUUGCAUUUUGAGAAACAUCGUGGGGGUUUCUUGGUGGUUGAUAUGAUCUAGAUGAUAUCACAGGGAAUUGUCUUGGUUACUGAAUUAGAAUGUUGGCAAAAUAAAAUUGAACAAAAUAAACAAU
rnacentral:lncRNA from 1 species